CCUACGGGAGGCAGCAGUAAGGGAUAUUGCGCAAUGGGCGGAAGCCUGACGCAGCAACGCCGCGUGCCCGAGGAAGGCCUUCGGGUCGUAAAGGGCUUUUCUGGCUGAAGAGAGCGGACGGUAAGCCAGGAAAAAGUGUCGGCUAACUACGUGCCAGCAGCCGCGGUAAU
rnacentral:rRNA from 1 species